UUGAAGGGUUUGAUCCUGGCUCAGAAUGAACGUUGGCGGCGUGGAUUAGGCAUGCAAGUCGUGCGGAAAGGCCCCGCAAGGGGUACUCGAGCGGCGAAAGGGAUAGUAAUGCGUAGGUAACCAACCCCCGGGACGGGGAUAGCUGGGGGAAACCCCAAUUAAUACCCGAUAACGUCUUCGGACCAAAGGUGCGAUUCCGCCUGGGGAC
rnacentral:rRNA from 1 species